CCACCCCCACCCCAACUCGCUCUCUUUCAUCCACCGCCUCAACAAAAUCCCCUGUCCUUCCGGCUACGGAAUCUUCCGAGACACAGGCAACAGCCGUUUUGUCCUCCCUUCAUAGUUUUCACCGGUGUCUCCGUCUCCGAUCCCCUUACGUCCUCCCUUGAUGAGCCUCCGCUCACCCCGCCGCAACCAGGGUUUUGGUUUUUAUACCGAUUAGUUAGGUUUCCGAUCAGUCAUUCGAAAAACGUUGUGCGUCUUUGUUUCUCUCUUCUCUGUUAGGGCUUUUUAAGCGAAGGACGCCCUAUGGCUCCUGGGCGGAAACGUGGAGGAGCAAAAGGAGCCAAAACAAAGAGUCAGUUAAAUUUGGGCGAUCUUGUUCUCGCUAAGGUCAAGGGUUUUCCUGCAUGGCCUGCCAAGAUCAGCAGACCUGAAGAUUGGAAACGAGCUCCUGAUCCGAAGAAAUAUUUUGUACAGUUCUUUGGUACCGAAGAAAUAGCUUUUGUAGCUCCAAUCGAUAUUCAACCAUUUACCAGCGAGUCAAAAAACAAAUUACUGGAUAGAUGUAAAGGAAAAACAGUCAAAUACUUUUCCCAAGCUGUGAAGGAAAUUUGUAGCAUAUUUGAAGAUUCACAGAAUAAGAGUUCAGAUUCCAUAAAAGAAGAUAAUGAUGGACAGAGUUUUCAGCCUGAUACCAAUUCUACAGAGAUGGUAGAUGAUGGAAUGACUGGUGAUGGACCCAGUGGCGAAACAUCUUUUAAUGAUACUGUAAAUCAUGGCCCUGGAUUAGAACGGUGCUCUCAUAUAAACAGGGAAAUGGAAUAUGAGGAUGUGAAGCCUAGUGUCUCACCUAAUGUUAAUGAUUGUUCUCCAUCUGCUGUUUCCACCAAAAAAAGAAUUGAACUUUGCAAUGAUGAGGUAACUUCACCCAAGAAGGAGAGUACAUCCACAUCCGGUCAUAAUAAAAAUCCAACAUCUGGACUGAAGGUAGAAACAGAUGGGCAGAAGUCAAAUAGGAUUGAAAGAGCUCCAAAGAAAAAAGAUGAUAAUGAUGAUGAUGGAAUAAACAAAAUGCAUAGUCCAGCAGGUGUCAGUUCCUCUGUUCAGACCAGUCAUCUUGAAUCCACUGUCACUGAGAACUCAAUACGGAGAAUUUCCUCGCAUGGGAUCAAGAAUGAAGAAAACCCAGAAUUUGGUGAUAAUAUUAAAAAAACAAAAAAAGUAUUUAAAGUCAAAACAAAUCUUGGGGUGGCUAAUAAUAUAUCAAAGGAUGUUGAAGGAGACCCUACAGAGCGAAACAAUACUGAACUUAUUACUGGAAGGAAAAUCAAGCCUGAUCCUGGGGGAGGGAAAGAUAAUCUUGUUAAUAAUGGAGUUUUGCAUCCUACAAAAAGGUCCAAGUGCACAGAUGAAACCCCAAAGAAGUCUCAAACAUACAGGAAAAACGACCUUUCUGGCAAAGGAGGCAAUGAAGAAGUCAAAAAGUCAACACCUAGUUUGAAAAUGAAAAACCGGUUGGCAUCCAAGGGGCAGACAAAUGGAGUUGAUGGUGAUGAAGAUGUUCUACCACCUACAAAACGCCGUAAGCAGGUGGUGGAGUCCAUGUCUGGUGCUGAAAACUCUACACCUAGAAAGGGGGAAAGUUCUGAUGCUGCUAAACCUGUUUCAACUCAAGUUUCCUUGAAGAGGAGAGCUGUGCGCAUCUUUGAUGAUGAUGAAGAUGAGCCAAAGACGCCUGUGCAUGGAAGGUCAACUAAAGGAGUCGAUGGAGUCUCACAUGUUCCAGUACCUGUUGAUGAAGUUGCUGCAGUGACUCAAGCUAUUCAAGAUCCUCCUAUUGUCAAAAACUUAAAGCCUUCGUCACCUACUUCUCUGCAACAUAAUACAGGAGUAGUUGAGGGGCAGUUCCGUCAUACUCCUGAGAAAGUAGAAUCUGAAAAGAAAUCAUCUGAAGAGGCUCUAAAGGUUUUGGUCUCUCCUGUCAAGUCGCCUAUGGUAGAAUCUCUAAAAGCAACCAAGUCCUUGGUCUCUCCAGUCAAGUCGCCCAUGGUAGAAUCUCUUAAAACAAGCAAGUCCGUGGUCUCUCCUGUCAAGUCGCCUAUGGUAGAAUCUCUUAAAAGAAGCAAGUCCUUGGCCUCUCCUAUGAAAUCGCCUAUGGUAGAAUCUCUUAAAGCAAACAAGUCCUUAGGCAAGGUUUCUGGAAACGUUCCUCAAAACAAGAAAGUUCAAGCAGGUCCUUUAAAGGCUUCAAGUGGGAUUUCUGAUCGUUCUCAGAAUAAUGCAGUAAAUGAGAGAAGUAGGCCUGCUGUUUCCGGUGAGAAGCAGAAAUCUAACCGAAAAUCAACUUCACGUGUGACUGAUUCUGCAGCUGUUUUAAGGAAACCUAACGAUAGCAACUUGCUAUCUAGCGAAAGGUUGGAAUUUGGUGAUUCAAGAAGUGCAGAAUCAAGUAAGUCCAUGAAGCAUCUGAUUGCAGUUGCCCAGGCAAAAAGAAAACAAGCUCAAUCACAAAACCAUGGACACGAUGGUCUUAAUUAUACACAUGUUGCAACCACUGAAGCAAUUGUGAGGAGUCCUGGUUCUGUUUCUGGUGUUCAGCCCAUCCCACCAGGUCCUGGAGUUGUGGCUCAACUAGAUGAUCAGCCGGAUUCUGCAGAGCUUGAGGAGACAAGGACAAGUUCAGGACAUCAGGGGUCUCUUAGUGGUGGAACUGAGGCAGCUGUUGCUCGUGAUGCUUUUGAAGGAAUGAUAGAAACACUAUCAAGAACAAAAGAAAGCAUUGGCCGUGCAACACGCCAUGCAAUUGACUGUGCAAAACAUGGCAUUGCCAAUGAGGUUGUGGAACUUCUUACUCGCAAGUUGGAAAAUGAAUCCAGCUUUCAUCGAAGAGUGGAUCUCUUCUUUUUGGUGGAUUCCAUUACUCAGUGCUCACAUUCACAGAAAGGCAUUGCUGGAGCCUCUUAUAUUCCUACUGUUCAAGCAGCAUUGCCACGUCUUUUAGGAGCCGCAGCUCCACCAGGUGCCAGUGCUCGCGAGAAUCGUCGUCAAUGCCUAAAGGUUCUAAAAUUGUGGCUUGAGAGGAAAAUUUUACCUGAUACUUUACUUCGAAGCUACAUAGAGGACAUUGGAGCUUCAAAUGAUGAUGCUUCUUCUGGGUUCUUCUCCAAGCGUCCAUCUCGAUCUGAACGGGCUGUGGAUGAUCCAAUCAGAGAGAUGGAGGGCAUGCUUGUUGAUGAAUAUGGGAGCAAUGCGACGUUUCAAUUGCCCGGUUUUCUGUCGACUAAUGUCUUUGAAGAGGAAGAUGACGAUGAUAUUCUAAACUUUUCACAUAAAGAAAGCACUGAUAAAUCAACACCAGUGGUAAGCCCGGGCACAGGAGAACUUGAAACAUGUUCAGUAACCCCAAAUGACAGACGCCACUGUAUCUUGGAGGAUGUGGAUGGCGAACUUGAAAUGGAAGAUGUAUCUGGACAUCCAAAAGAUGAUAAAUUCAUCACAGGUGGUGGUUACAAGGAAACUGUUCAACAGGAAGAAGGUGGCUCAGACAGGACAAUGGAUGCAGCCUCAAAUAAUUCCAAUGAGGUGUCCCCUUUUCGUGAGGGCUCCCCACCUCUACCUCCUGAUUCUCCCCCUCCCACUCCUCCCUUGCCUUCUUCGCCACCACCACCUCUGUCACCCAUGGUGCCACCGCCUCCAUCCUCCCCUUCGCCUCCAUCACCACCCCCACCCCCGCCUCCUCCACCACCACCCCCUUCACAAACAUAUCCUCUUCCCCCACCACAAGCGCCAUUUCCUCAGCCAUCGUUUGGGGCCCGUCUUGGAGCUCAUGUUGAUGCUGCUGUCCGAGGCGAAAUGUUUCCCUUUGUGCCAGCUGUAGCCUCCAGUUCACGUGUAGAGUAUGUACAUGAAACAUAUACAAAUCCUCAGGCUUCUCAAUCAAACCAACAGCUGCAGACCGCUAAUGUACCUUUGCCUCCAAGAGCGUUUCAACCUCCCAUGUUGCCUCAGAAUGCUGCUGGUCAAUUUCAAUAUCCCAAGCCUGGAAUGCUGCAGCAUCCAUACCCACCUCUAUAUGGAUUAACAAAACCUCCUGAUGCCCCGAGGAGAUAUGGUGCUGAUGAACAAUGGAGACCGCCUUCAAACGAGUUCAGCACUGAUAAUCAGCGUGGUACUUGGAGGAUUUCACUAUCCUCGGGUCCUCCUUUUGCUCAAGAAGGGUAUUUUCGAGCACCUAUGGAGAGACCCCCAGGCCCAGGCCCAGCAAAUAAUGUUGGUUUUCAAUCCACGGUUCCAGGUGGAGCUCCAAUUCCAGGCCAUAGUGGUUCGAUGAUGAUGCCAUGUCGGCCUGACAUAUCAUCACUCAACUCUUGGAGGCCACCUUAAGAUAUAGGUGCAGCUAGGACAUGGAUACAUCGUACAUGUAAUUUGUCAUGACAUGACUCAUAAAGAUUGGAAGAUAUGGGUUGCCUUUUUUCUGUUUGAUGGGAGAGAGUUGUGAUUUGUGAAAGAAGGGCAUUGCAGAUUGUAUAUUCUUCUAGUGUUUUCUCUUGACAAAUGCUUCCCGAACGAGUGAUAAAGAGACAUCACAAGUGCCCACGAUCAUUAUGGAGACUUAAUCAGGAAUCUGCAAUGCCAUUAUGCCAACCAACAAUGAACAAUUACACAACUUUCAGUGACUACAUAUGACUUCAAAAAUAACGACCCAUCUUACAGGAGAAAUGAUGUUUUUUUUUGGUAUCAAUCUCACAUGAAUGGAAUAACAAAUAGCAAAUAAAGGGUGACAUGACAUCUACAUCUACAUCUAGGCCACAGCUCAGUGGAAUCUGUUGUAUUUGGUUCCAAUUACAGGAGCUCUCCUCCUCAAAUCCCAACUGGCUACCAACAAGAGCAUCACCCAUUACAAAUUACAAAUUUUCUUCUCAUCUGAAUCUACAAAAUGAUUGUAAACUCCAUAUUAUAUAUUAUCAAAACUUAUCAACUACAAA